rnacentral:rRNA from 1 species
GACGAACGCUGGCGGCGUGCUUAACACAUGCAAGUCGAACGGAAAGGCCCUGCUUGCAGGGUGCUCGAGUGGCGAACGGGUGAGUAACACGUGGGUGAUCUGCCCCUUACUUUGGGAUAAGCCUGGGAAACUGGGUCUAAUACUGGAUAGGACCAUGCUGUAGGUGGUGUGGUGGAAAGAUUAGUUUCGGUAAGGGAUGAGCUCGCGGCCUAUCAGCUUGUUGGUGGGGUAAUGGCCUACCAAGGCGUCGACGGGUAGCCGGCCUGAGAGGGUGGACGGCCACAUUGGGACUGGGAUACGGCCCAGACUCCUACGGGAGGCAGCAGUGGGGAAUAUUGCACAAUGGGCGAAAGCCUGAUGCAGCGACGCCGCGUGAGGGAUGACGGCCUUCGGGUUGUAAACUCCUUUCAGCCAUGACGAAGCCCUUGUGGUGACGGUAGUGGUAGAAGAAGCACCGGCUAACUACGUG